rnacentral:rRNA from 1 species
GACGAACGCUGGCGGCGUGCUUAACACAUGCAAGUCGAACGGAAAGGCCCUGCUUUUGUGGGGUGCUCGAGUGGCGAACGGGUGAGUAACACGUGAGUAACCUGCCCUUGACUUUGGGAUAACUUCAGGAAACUGGGGCUAAUACCGGAUAGGAGCUCCUGCUGCAUGGUGGGGGUUGGAAAGUUUCGGCGGUUGGGGAUGGACUCGCGGCUUAUCAGCUUGUUGGUGAGGUAGUGGCUUACCAAGGCUUUGACGGGUAGCCGGCCUGAGAGGGUGACCGGCCACAUUGGGCCUGAGAUACGGACCAGACUCCUACGGGCGGCAGCAGUGGGGAAUAUUGCACAAUGGGCGGACGCCUGAUGCAGCAACGCCGCGUGCGGGAUGACGGCCUUCGGGUUGUAAACCGCUUUCGCCUGUGACGAAGCGUGAGUGACGGUAAUGGGUAAAGAAGCACCGGCUAACUACGUG